GACGAACGCUGGCGGCGUGCUUAACACAUGCAAGUGGAGCGACGAACCGGGGCUUGCCCCGGGGCAGAGCCGCGAACGGGUGAGUAACACGUGGGUAACCCACCCCGAUGACCGGGACAACCCGACGGAAACUACGGGCGUAAUACCGGAUGUGCUCCUUGACCUCGAGGUCAAGGCGUAAAGAUAGCUUCGGCCUUCGCAUCGGGACGGGCCCGCGGCCCAUUAGCUUGUUGGUGGGGUAAAGGCCUACCAAGGCGACGANGGGUAGGCUGGUCUGAGAGGACGAUCAGCCACACUGGGACUGAGACACGGCCCAGACUCCUACGGGAGGCAGC
rnacentral:rRNA from 1 species